GUCGAGGGGCAGCAUAAUAAUUGCUUGCAAUUAUUGAUGGCGACCGGCGCACGGGUGAGUAACGCGUAUGCAACCUGCCUUAUACAGGGGGAUAGCCCAUGGAAACGUGGAUUAACACCGCAUAAUACUUUUUGGAGGCAUCUUUAGGGAGUUAAAUAUUUAUAGGUAUAAGAUGGGCAUGCGUCCUAUUAGAUAGUUGGUGAGGUGAUGGCUCACCAAGUCAGCGAUAGGUAGGGGUUCUGAGAGGAAGGUCCCCCACACUGGUACUGAGACACGGACCAGACUCCUACGGGAGGCAGCAGUGAGGAAUAUUGGUCAAUGGGCGCAAGCCUGAACCAGCCAAGUCGCGUGAAGGAAGACGGUUCUAUGGAUUGUAAACUUCUUUUAUUUGGGAAGAAUAAGAGGUACGUGUACCUUGAUGCCUGUACCAAAUGAAUAAGCAUCGGCUAACUCCGUGCCAGCAGCCGCGGUAAUACGGAGGAUGCGAGCGUUAUCCGGAUUUAUUGGGUUUAAAGGGCGCGUAGGUGGUUUGUUAAGUUAGUGGUUAAAUAGUUAGGCUCAACCUAAUCUUGCCAUUAAUACUGGCUAACUAGAGUACACUCGAGGUAGGCGGAAUAAGUUAAGUAGCGGUGAAAUGCUUAGAUAUAACUUAGAACUCCGAUAGCGAAGGCAGCUUACCAGCGUGUAACUGACACUGAUGCACGAGAGCG
rnacentral:rRNA from 1 species